AGUGAACGCUGGCGGUAGGCCUAACACAUGCAAGUCGAACGGCAGCACAGUAAGAGCUUGCUCUUACGGGUGGCGAGUGGCGGACGGGUGAGGUAUACAUCGGAAUCUACUUUUUCGUGGGGGAUAACGUAGGGAAACUUACGCUAAUACCGCAUACGACCUACGGGUGAAAGCAGGGGAUCUUCGGACCUUGCGCGAUUGAAUGAGCCGAUGUCGGAUUAGCUAGUUGGCGGGGUAAACGCCCACCAAGGCGACGAUCCGUAGCUGGUCUGAGAGGAUGAUCAGCCACACUGGCACUGAGACACCGUCCAGACUCCUACGCGAGGCAGCAGUGGGGAAUAUUCGACAAUAGGCGGAAGCCUGAUCCAGCCAUACCGCGUGGGUGAAGAAGGCCUUCGGGUUGUAGAGCCCUUUUGUUGGGAAAGAAAAGCAGCAGAUUAAUACCCCGCUGUUCUGACGGUACCCAAAGAAUAAGCACCGGCUAACUUCGUG
rnacentral:rRNA from 1 species